AAGGGAGCGUAGGCGGCUGAUUAAGUCAGCGGUGAAAGGUAGCAGCUUAACUGUUUUACAUGCCGUUGAUACUGGUUAGCUUGAGUUGACAGAAGGCAGAUAGAAUUCCUGAUGUAGCGGUGAAAUGCUUAGAUAUCAGGAGGAAUACCGAUUGCGAAGGAAGUCUGCUGCAGUCACACUGACGCUGAGGCUCGAAGGUGCGGGGAUCAAACAGGAUUAGAUACCCUUGU
rnacentral:rRNA from 1 species